rnacentral:rRNA from 1 species
GGUAGGUCAGUAUGCCCCGAAUAUCCCGGGCUACACGCGAGCUACAAUGGUUGGUACAAUGGGUAUCUACCCCGAAAGGGGACGGGAAUCUCCUAAAACCAAUCUUAGUUCGGAUUGAGGGCUGCAACUCGCCCUCAUGAAGCUGGAAUCCGUAGUAAUCGCGUUUCAACAGAACGCGGUGAAUACGUCCCUGCUCCUU